AUCAAUUACGAAUAAAAAUAAAAUCUGAUAUCAGUAUAAUGAUUUUUGUGAAGUCAUUGUGAAAUGCGGUCAAUGCGAUAACACAUACAAUCAUUGACUAAGAAUAUCAGCAGUGGGUCCAUAGGUGCCAAGGAAGAUAAUUUUUUCAAUAUCCAAUUUGCUCACGUAGAAAUCAGGCACUGUAAUAUUAAUGUAUUAGUUUAAAUUCAUCAAAUCAAAUUAACUAAACAUACGUUGCGCCCAAAUUUCCAUUUCUGGAUGCUUUUCAAGAAGUCCACUCAUUGCAUAACGUUUCUCAUCUUCAUCCUCAACCCGAACAUAUUUACCAGUCAUGAAUAAACGCGGACACCUUGGAUCCUGAGGGUCAAAUUCAUUAUCCUUGCAAUAGUUAGUGCUUGCUAAAGUCGCAAAUACAGUGGCACGAUUAUCAACUAGAUAAUCUUGACAGGAUAUGUCUACGUCACUCGUGAAAAAAUAUGGAAUUCCACUAGAAUUUCCUGAAGGACCAUCGCUAAUCGAUUUUAGGUUACCCAUCGGGUAGCCUUCGAUACCUUCUUUUAUAGAUAGGAAGUAACAGUCACCCAAUCUAUAUCACAAACAAAAUGAUAGAUUUAGGAGAAAAGUACAAAUUAAUAUCAAAAUAUUGUUACCGAUUUGACUUAAAACUUUGCGAGCCUCACGCGCGGCUUCAUUUUCAGCGUUUGCACAAGAAAUCACAACUAAUGUGAUGAAUAAUAGAGAUUUCAUUAUGAAAUUAAGAGAUGCUUAAGAGACAACUUUUAAAAUCUAACUGAGAAGCGCGGUAGCGUUUAUAAUGUCCUUUUUUUUAUUAUCUCGCAAUGUACUUCAAUUAAGUAGGUGUACGUGACAUCCGACAGACUAAUCACUUGUAUUUCACUAAUUCAUGCGAAUGUUAAAUGAUUGAUAAACUUUAUUAACAAUUUGUAUAUAACAAU